rnacentral:rRNA from 1 species
UACGUAGGGAGCAAGCGUUGUCCGGAAUCAUUGGGCGUAAAGCGCGCGUAGGUGGCCCCAUAAGUCCGCUGUGAAAGUCAAAGGCUCAACCUUUGAAAGCCGGUGGAUACUGUGGGACUAGAGUACGGAAGAGGCGAGUGGAAUUCCUGGUGUAGCGGUGGAAUGCGCAGAUAUCAGGAGGAACACCAAUAGCGAAGGCAGCUCGCUGGGACGUUACUGACACUGAGGCGCGAAAGCGUGGGGAGC